rnacentral:rRNA from 1 species
GCCAUCGGGUAAUGCCGGGCACUCUGGAAGGACUGCCAUCGACAAGAUGGAGGAAGGUGGGGGAGUGACGUCAAGUCAUCAUGGCCCUUAUGUCCAGGGCGACACACGUGCUACAAUGGCCGGCACAACGGGAAGCGAGUUCGCGAGGACAAGCGGAUCCCUUAAAGCCGGUCGCAGUUCGGAUUGAAGUCUGCAACUCGACUUCAUGAAGCUGGAAUCGCUAGUAAUCGUGGAUCAGCCAAGCCGCGGUGAAUACGUUCCCGGGCCUU